rnacentral:misc_RNA from 1 species
AGUAACUACUUGGAACUAAUUAAUGGUACUUAUGCUGGUGUCAUGGUGUCCCACGGAAGAGGUUGCUUAUACAUGGGUUCAUCUUUCAAACCUCAAGGAUAUAUAAAUAGUUACCUGCAUGGAGAAUUUGCGGCAUCUGCUGCUGCUAGUCUAGCUAUCCUUUCUUCUGAAGAAAAUCAGGGAUCUGAGACUCGUGUUUCAGACAAUAGGCGUAAACAAAUAUCUGCAAG